rnacentral:rRNA from 1 species
GAUGAACGCUGGCGGCGUGCCUAAUACAUGCAAGUCGAGCGAACGGACGAGAAGCUUGCUUCUCUGAUGUUAGCGGCGGACGGGUGAGUAACACGUGGAUAACCUACCUAUAAGACUGGGAUAACUUCGGGAAACCGUAGCUAAUACCGGAUAAUAUUUUGAACCGCAUGGUUCAAAAGUGAAAGACGGUCUUGCUGUCACUAAUAGAUGGAUACGGGCUUUAUGAGCUAGUUGGUAAGGUCACGGCUUACUAAGGCGACGAGGCAUAGCCGACCUGAGUGGUGGAUAGGCGACCUGGGAAGUGAGACACGGACAAGACUCCUAAGGGACGCCGCAGUAGGGAAUCUGACGCAAUGGGGGGAAGCCUUACGGAGUAACGGCGAGCGAGAGGUGAAGGUCCUCGGAGCGUAAAGCCCUGUUAUGAGGUAAGAACAGAUGUGGAAGUAGAUGUGCACAUCGUGACGGUACCUAAUCAGAAAGCCACGGCUAACUACGUG